rnacentral:rRNA from 1 species
CCUACGGGAGGCAGCAGUGGGGAAUAUUGCACAAUGGGGGGAACCCUGAUGCAGCGACGCCGCGUGAGCGAAGAAGGUUUUCGAAUCGUAAAGCUCUGUCCUAUGAGAAGAUAAUGACGGUAUCAUAGGAGGAAGCCCCGGCUAAAUACGUGCCAGCAGCCGCGGUAAUACGUAUGGGGCGAGCGUUGUCCGGAAUUAUUGGGCGUAAAGGGUACGUAGGCGGUUUUUUAAGUCAGGUGUGAAAGCGUGAGGCUUAACCUCAUUAAGCACUUGAAACUGGAAGACUUGAGUGAAGGAGAGGAAAGUGGAAUUCCUAGUGUAGCGGUGAAAUGCGUAGAUAUUAGGAGGAAUACCGGUGGCGAAGGCGACUUUCUGGACUUUUACUGACGCUCAGGUACGAAAGCGUGGGGAGCAAACAGGAUUAGAUACCCGAGUAGUC